AUUUGCAAUGUAGCAUGCCCGUUUGGUGCUUAACUCUGAUGAAUAAUUGUUAUUUAAUUACUUUUGGGUAACGGGGUGUUACAGGCAAA
rfam:Medicago truncatula strain A17 chromosome 7, whole genome shotgun sequence.